rnacentral:rRNA from 1 species
AACAAACGCUGGCGGCGUGCCUAACACAUGCAAGUCGUACGAGAAAGGGUCCUUCGGGGCCUGAGUAAAGUGGCGCACGGGUGAGUAACGCGUGGAUAAUCUGCCCUUCAGUUGGGAAUAACUCAUCGAAAGGUGGGCUAAUACCGAAUAAUGCUGUGAGACCUCGGUUGAUCAGCCAAAGAGAGCCUCUGCUUGCAAGCCCUCGCUGAAGGAUGAGUCCGCGUACCAUUAGCUAGUUGGUAGGGUAAUGGCCUACCAAGGCGACGAUGGUUGGCUGGUCUGAGAGGAUGAUCAGCAACACUGGAACUUGGACACGGUCCAGACUCCUACGGGAGGCAGCAGUGAGGAAUCUUGCGCAAUGGGGGCAACCCUGACGCAGCAACGCCGCGUGAGUGAGGAAGGUCUUCGGAUCGUAAAGCUCUGUCGGAUGGAAAGAACCGCAUAGGGGUAAACAGCCCCUGUGUCUGACGGUACCAUCAAAGGAAGCACCGGCUAACUCCGUGCCAGCCGCCGCAGUAAAAC